CAAACACGAGUGCCCAACCGCUUGGCAACACCUGGGUUUGAAGUGCAGGGUUAUAUACACAGGCUAUAUAAGAUGAAAUAAGUUAUAGCACUUUCAACAAAUUCUGCUCUACUUUCCGCUAUUCUGCACCGUCUGCACACUCAACUUCCUCCCAUCAUCUUCUCAAAAUAAAUCAAUAAAAAACUUCCUCCCAUCAUUUUCUCUUUUCCUCUCAAGUUUAUAACUUUCACAGUUGUGUGCCCACAUUGUCUUGUAGCUGAGAGUGAGAGAGAGCCUCCCACUCCUCACCCCUCACCCAUCACAGUGCCGUUUUCACAAAAGGGUCCCCAUAUUUGAAUUCCUUUUCAUUUUAAUGACGCAUCAAACUUGCUCCAGUUACACCUUUACUCUUUUUUAAUAUUCUCUUUAGAUAGGUCUCUCAUUGUUCACCACCAAUCAUUGCUCUCAUUUUUUCUCUGCUACACAUCCAUGGACCUCUGUAGAUUUCACUACUGCUUGUCAAGACUCAUUUUCAUCUCAGGCAUUGUGUUUCCUGUAAUGGUUGCUUCAAUUGGAGUAAACUAUGGUCAAAUUGCAAACAAUCUACCAUUACCAGAAAACGUAGUACCUCUAGUGAAAUCAAUUGGUGCCACCAAAGUCAAGCUUUACGAUGCAGAUCCAAGAGUUCUCCAAGCGUUUGCUAACACUGAUGUGGAAUUCAUGGUGGGUUUGGGCAAUGACUUGUUGGGCAAAAUGAAAGAUGUAGACAAAGCUCAAACUUGGGUCAAGAGCAACGUCCAAGCCCACCUCCCAGCUACCAAAAUCACUUCCAUUUUUGUUGGUAAUGAAGUCUUAACCUUCAAUGAUACCAUUCUCACUGGCUGUCUUGUCCCUGCAAUGCAAAGCGUACACACUGCACUUGUUAAUCUUGGGCUGGACAAGCAAGUUAGUGUCACUACUGCUCACUCCUUAGCUAUUCUUGAAACCUCAUAUCCUCCCUCUUCCGGAGCUUUUCGACGCGAUUUGACCAGCUGCAUAACCCCGAUCUUGAACUUCCAUGCCAAAACAGGUUCACCAUUCCUCAUCAACGCAUACCCAUACUUCGCAUACAAGGCAAGCCCAAAACAAGUGUCAUUGGACUUUGUUUUGUUCCAACAAAACCAAGGAACUAUAGAUCCAUCAACAAAUCUCCACUAUGACAACAUGUUGUUUGCACAAAUAGACGCAGUUUAUGCAGCACUAGCUGCCCUGGGUUACAAGAAACUACCCGUUCAUAUUUCGGAGACGGGGUGGCCAUCCAAAGGUGAUGAAGACGAGGCUGGUGCAACCCCAGACAACGCAAAGAAGUACAAUGGGAAUUUGAUGAAGCUUAUGAGCCAAAAGAAAGGGACACCUAUGAAACCUGACUCAGACCUCAACAUUUAUGUGUUUGCUAUGUUCAACGAGAACAUGAAGCCCGGUCCAACUUCAGAAAGGAAUUACGGGUUAUUUAAGCCUGAUGGAACACCUGUGUACUCGCUUGGAAUUGCCUUAAGCAACAGUACAUUUAGUAACACUACAAGUUUCGGUGGAUCUAGUGGGAGUUCUGACACGCCAACCUCGUCACAAGGCAGUUCUUCCACUGGUUAUUUGACCAUUUCGUCUGCUACUACGAAAAGAUACCCAUUGGUUGGCCCAGUAUCCUUUUUCUUUAUGUUUAUGAUCAAAUUGUUGCUGUAAAGUUUGAUUAGCUGAGCGUCGGAAAAUAUCCAUCUACUGUUAAAAGCAAUGGAGAGGAGAGAGUAAAAGAGAAUAAAGAGGCAGCUUCAGAGUCAAGAAAAGGAAGAUAUUUCAGUGUCGCAAUAAUUUUAAAGGGCGUUAGGUUUGUUGAUGAAGAGUUCGAUAGUUUAAAAGAGGUGGACCCACAAUUCUAUUAGAGUGUAGUUUAGAUUUAUCAAUUUGUUGUUUGUUGUAUCUCCUUUUUCAUCGCUGUGAACAGGGUGUUAUUAUCUUUUAUUAUUAUUAUUAAUGUUAGAUCAAUUUGGUGUACAAUUAAACUUAAGUAGUGGGUAUUUUGGUUGGUCUAGAGCCACUUUCAGUGUGAA